rnacentral:lncRNA from 1 species
CGACUGAAGGGCUCGGGGUACAGCACCACGAACCCAGACAACCCGACCCCGGGCUCGCGACCGCAGCCAACCCGGAAGUGCCGGCCCGGUCGCGCAUGCUCGCUCCGCCUCCCGCGCGCUCCUCCGUCACGUGGGACAGCGUGCGGCCGCUCCCGGAAGUCCCCCGGGAAACGCGAGCCCCGGGGCCGCGGGUUCCGCCCGGCAGCGCUCCGCCGUCUGGGCGCGCGUGGACUCGGGUGAAAUCUGUCUGUCUGCCGUCGUGGGCGCUCGCGGAGGACGCACUGCGCGUGGCUCCUCGACUACGUGGCGCGGGGCUCCCGGGCGGGCCGGCACGUCGGGCGCGCUGGGCGAGCGGGGCCGGAGGGGGAUGGAGGAGAAUUCCCACCCGCCUGCGAGGGCUGAGAUCCACGCGCUCUGCCGCGCUCGCUGGAGGGCCGGCGUGCGGGUGGUGUCCUCGCCGGACAGCUCGUUUGCUGCAGAGCUCGGAGUCCUGCGUGCCACGGAAGCCGGGAAGCGGGAAGAUUUCUGUUAGUUCAGCAGUCCAGGGGUGUCAGCCAGCAUCUCUGUAA